rnacentral:rRNA from 1 species
CGGGCUCUUCGGAGCUAGUGGCAGACGGGUGAGUAACGCGUGGGAACCUACCUAUAAGUACGGAACAACACAGAGAAAUUUGUGCUAAUACCGUAUGUGGUCUUCGGAUUAAAGAUUUAUCGCUUAUAGAUGGGCCCGCGUUAGAUUAGCUAGUUGGUGAGGUAAUGGCUCACCAAGGCGACGAUCUAUAGCUGGUCUGAGAGGAUGAUCAGCCACACUGGGACUGAGACACGGCCCAGACUCCUACGGGAGGCAGCAGUGAGGAAUAUUGGACAAUGGGGGCAACCCUGAUCCAGCCAUGCCGCGUGAGUGAUGACGGCCUUAGGGUUGUAAAGCUCUUUCGCUAGGGAAGAUAAUGACGGUACCUAGUAAAGAAGCCCCGGCUAACUUCGUGCCAGCAGCCGCGGUAAUACGAAGGGGGCUAGCGUUGUUCGGAAUCACUGGGCGUAAAGCGCGCGUAGGCGGACUUUUAAGUCAGGGGUGAAAUCCCGGGGCUCAACCUCGGAACUGCCUUUGAUACUGGAAGUCUUGAGUUCGAGAGAGGUGAGUGGAAUACCGAGUGUAGAGGUGAAAUUCGUAGAUAUUCGGUGGAACACCAGUGGCGAAGGCGGCUCACUGGCUCGAUACUGACGCUGA